UAUAAAUAUGGUGAUGGGGCUCACCUUAAAUGCGAAAUGCUAAUGGCUCCUACUUUGAU
rnacentral:ncRNA from 2 species